rnacentral:lncRNA from 1 species
UACGAUGCUGUGUAUAUGGUCUUAAUAUUACUAGAAAUCCAAAACAAAAUCCUUAAUAAAGGCAAAACCUUGACAUCUCACCUAGUAACUUCUUCCAAUCUCACCUUGAUCAACUAGAUCUGGAACAACAUAAAAAAUAACAAAAUUCAGACCCCAAGAUAUCAACUUUUUCCACAAUACAUUAAGAAAAAAAAACCCACUCAAGCAAACCCUCUCAUUUAUCACACAUUCCAUUCAAACACUAAAAAAGUCCCAAUCUUUAGUGCAGUAUGCUAAAACCCUAGAGUAACCCAUCAGCUAAUCCCCCAAAAACACACAAACAAGAUCAAAAUUUAAAACCAACCCAUUGUUUUAUACCUG